GAAAGGCCAAUCAAACCGGGAGAUAGCUGGUUCUCCCCGAAAGCUAUUUAGGUAGCGCCUCGUGAACUCAUCUUCGGGGGUAGAGCACUGUUUCGACUAGGGGGUCAUCCCGACUUACCAACUCGAUGCAAACUACGAAUACCGAAGAAUGUUAUCACGGGAGACACACGGCGGGUGCUAACGUUCGUCGUGAAGAGGGAAACAACCCAGACCGCCAGCUAAGGUCCCAAAGUCAUAGUUAAGUGGGAAACGAAGUGGGAAGGCUCAGACAGCCAGGAUGUUGGCUUAGAAGCAGCCAUCAUUUAAAGAAAGCGUAAUAGCUCACUGGUCGAGUCGGCCUGCGCGGAAGAUGUAACGGGGCUAAACUAUGCACCGAAGCUGCGGCAGCGAUAUGUAAAUAUUGUUGGGUAGGGGAGCGUUCUGUAAGCCUGUGAAGGUGUACUGUGAGGUAUGCUGGAGGUAUCAGAAGUGCGAAUGCUGACAUAAGUAACGAUAAUGCGGGUGAAAAACCCGCACGCCGGAAGACCAAGGGUUCCUGUCCAACGUUAAUCGGGGCAGGGUGAGUCGACCCCUAAGGCGAGGCAGAAAUGCGUAGUCGAUGGGCAACGGGUUAAUAUUCCCGUACUGGUGAUAAUUGCGAUGGGGGGACGGAGAAGGUUAGGCUGGCCGGGCGACGGUUGUCCCGGUUUAAGGAUGUAGGCAGGUGAAUUAGGCAAAUCCGGUUCACUAUAUGCUGAGGUCUGAUGACGAGUCACUACGGUGGCGAAGUAGCUAAUACCCUGCUUCCAGGAAAAGCCUCUAAGCUCUAGAUUAUCAUUAAUCGUACCCCAAACCGACACAGGUGGUCAGGUAGAGAAUACUCAGGCGCUUGAGAGAACUCGGGUGAAGGAACUAGGCAAAAUGGUGCCGUAACUUCGGGAGAAGGCACGCUGGCAUUAGGUGAAGUCCCUUGCGGAUGGAGCUCAAGCCAGUCGCAGAUACCAGCUGGCUGCAACUGUUUAUUAAAAACACAGCACUGUGCAAACACGAAAGUGGACGUAUACGGUGUGACGCCUGCCCGGUGCUGGAAGGUUAAUUGAUGGGGUUAUCCGUAAGGAGAAGCUCUUGAUCGAAGCCCCAGUAAACGGCGGCCGUAACUAUAACGGUCCUAAGGUAGCGAAAUUCCUUGUCGGGUAAGUUCCGACCUGCACGAAUGGCGUAAUGAUGGCCAGGCUGUCUCCACCCGAGACUCAGUGAAAUUGAACUCGCUGUGAAGAUGCAGUGUACCCGCGGCAAGACGGAAAGACCCCGUGAACCUUUACUAUAGCUUGACACUGAACAUUGAGCCUUGAUGUGUAGGAUAGGUGGGAGGCUUUGAAGCGUGGACGCCAGUCUGCGUGGAGCCAACCUUGAAAUACCACCCUUUAAUGUUUGAUGUUCUAACGUUGCCCCAUUAUCUGGGGUGCGGACAGUGUCUGGUGGGUAGUUUGACUGGGGCGGUCUCCUCCCAAAGAGUAACGGAGGAGCACGAAGGUUGGCUAAGCAUGGUCGGACAUCAUGCGGUUAGUGCAAAGGCAUAAGCCAGCUUGACUGCGAGAGUGACGGCUCGAGCAGGUACGAAAGUAGGUCUUAGUGAUCCGGUGGUUCUGAAUGGAAGGGCCAUCGCUCAACGGAUAAAAGGUACUCCGGGGAUAACAGGCUGAUACCGCCCAAGAGUUCAUAUCGACGGCGGUGUUUGGCACCUCGAUGUCGGCUCAUCACAUCCUGGGGCUGAAGUAGGUCCCAAGGGUACGGCUGUUCGCCGUUUAAAGUGGUACGCGAGCUGGGUUUAGAACGUCGUGAGACAGUUCGGUCCCUAUCUGCCGUGGGCGUUGGAAGAUUGAAAGGGGCUGCUCCUAGUACGAGAGGACCGGAGUGGACGCACCACUGGUGUUCGGGUUGUCAUGCCAAUGGCAUUGCCCGGUAGCUAAGUGCGGAAAAGAUAACCGCUGAAAGCAUCUAAGCGGGAAACUUGCCUUGAGAUGAGUCUUCCCUGACUCUUUAAGGGUCCUAAAGGAACGUUUAAGACUAAGACGUUGAUAGGUUGGGUGUGUAAGCGUAGCGAUACGUUGAGCUAACCAAUACUAAUGAACCGUGAGGCUUAACCUGACAACACCGAAGGUGUUUUAG
rnacentral:rRNA from 1 species